rnacentral:rRNA from 1 species
UACGUAGGGUGCAAGCGUUGUCCGGAAUUAUUGGGCGUAAAGAGCUCGUAGGCGGUUUGUCGCGUCUGCUGUGAAAAUCCAGGGCUUAACCCUGGACCUGCAGUGGGUACGGGCAGACUAGAGUGCGGUAGGGGAGAUCGGAAUUCCUGGUGUAGCGGUGAAAUGCGCAGAUAUCAGGAGGAACACCGGUGGCGAAGGCGGAUCUCUGGGCCGUAACUGACGCUGAGGAGCGAAAGCAUGGGGAGCAAACAGG